rnacentral:tRNA from 1 species
GCCUGAGUGGUGAAAUUGGUAGACACAGCGGACUUAAAAUCCGCCGCUUACCUGGAAAGGGGCGUACCGGUUCAAGUCCGGUCUCAGGUACCA